rnacentral:rRNA from 1 species
AGAGUUUGAUCCUGGCUCAGGACGAACGCUGGCGGCGCGCCUAACACAUGCAAGUCGAACGAGCAAAGAGGAGCUUGCUUCUCUGAGCGAGUGGCGAACGGGUGAGUAACGCGUGAGGAACCUGCCUCAAAGAGGGGGACAACAGUUGGAAACGACUGCUAAUACCGCAUAAGCCCACGGGUCGGCAUCGACCAGAGGGAAAAGGAGCAAUCCGCUUUGAGAUGGCCUCGCGUCCGAUUAGCUAGUUGGUGAGGUAACGGCCCACCAAGGCGACGAUCGGUAGCCGGACUGAGAGGUUGAACGGCCACAUUGGGACUGAGACACGGCCCAGACUCCUACGGGAGGCAGCAGUGGGGAAUAUUGCACAAUGGGGGAAACCCUGAUGCAGCGACGCCGCGUGGAGGAAGAAGGUCUUCGGAUUGUAAACUCCUGUUGUUGAGGAAGAUAAUGACGGUACUCAACAAGGAAGUGACGGCUAACUACGUGCCAGCAGCCGCGGUAAAACGUAGGUCACAAGCGUUGUCCGGAAUUACUGGGUGUAAAGGGAGCGCAGGCGGGAAGACAAGUUGGAAGUGAAAUCCAUGGGCUCAACCCAUGAACUGCUUUCAAAACUGUUUUUCUUGAGUAGUGCAGAGGUAGGCGGAAUUCCCGGUGUAGCGGUGGAAUGCGUAGAUAUCGGGAGGAACACCAGUGGCGAAGGCGGCCUACUGGGCACCAACUGACGCUGAGGCUCGAAAGUGUGGGUAGCAAACAGGAUUAGAUACCCUGGUAGUCCACACCGUAAACGAUGAUUACUAGGUGUUGGAGGAUUGACCCCUUCAGUGCCGCAGUUAACACAAUAAGUAAUCCACCUGGGGA